UACGUAGGGGGCAAGCGUUGUUCGGAUUUACUGGGCGUAAAGGGCGCGUAGGCGGCGCGUAAAGUCGGACAUGAAAUCAUUGGGCUUAACCCAAUGUCUGUACCCGAUACUUGCGUGCUUAGAGUGCGGGAGAGGCAAUCGGAAUUCUCGGUGUAGCGGUGAAAUGCGUAGAUAUCGAGAGGAACUCCAGUGACGAAGGUGGGUUGCUGGACCGACACUGACGCUGAGGCGCGAAAGCUAGGGGAGCAAACGGG
rnacentral:rRNA from 1 species